rnacentral:rRNA from 1 species
GACGAAGGGGGCUAGCGUUGUUCGGAAUUACUGGGCGUAAAGCGCGCGUAGGCGGCUUUGCAAGUCGGGUGUGAAAUCCCCAGGCUUAACCUGGGAACUGCAUUCGAGACUGCAUUGCUAGAGUAUGGGAGAGGGAAGUGGAAUUUCCGGUGUAGCGGUGAAAUGCGUAGAUAUCGGAAGGAACAUCAGUGGCGAAGGCAGCUCGCUGGGACGGUACUGACGCUGAGGCGCGAAAGCGUGGGGAGCAAACAGG